rnacentral:rRNA from 1 species
UACAGGGGGUGCAAACGUUGCUCGGAAUCAUUGGGCGUAAAGCGCACGUAGGCGGUUCGUUAUGUCGGAUGUGAAAGCCCUUGGCUUAACCGAGGAAGUGCAUCCGAAACUGGCGAGCUUGAGUACGAAAGAGGAUCGCGGAAUUCCCGGUGUAGAGGUGAAAUUCGUAGAUAUCGGGAGGAACACCGGUGGCGAAGGCGGCGAUCUGGGUCGAUACUGACGCUGAGGUGCGAAAGCGUGGGGAGCAAACAGG